rnacentral:rRNA from 1 species
AGCGAAAAGGGAACAGGGCGGUUAGUGAUAGCAUAGAUAUUAGCAGAACAGUUUGGAAAGACUGAGCGUAGAGGGUGAUACUCCCGUAAGCGAAAAUAUUUAUGUGGUACUAGAUUAUCGAACGAGUAGGUCGGGACACGUGUUAUCUUGACUGAAUAUGGGGGGACCACCCUCCAACCCUAAAUACUACUACCAGACCGAUAGCGAACUAGUACCGUGAGGGAAAGGUGAAAAGGACUGCGGUGAGCAGAGUGAAAUAGAACCUGAAACCUAUGGCUUACAAUCAUUUGGAGCGGUAUGCUUUAUGCACCGUGACAGACUGCCUUUUGCAUAAUGAGCCUGCGAGUUGUGGUAUAUGGCAAGGUUAAGCCAAGUGCGAAGCCGUAGCGAAAGCGAGUGUGAAUAGCGCGAAUUAGUCAUAUGCUGCAGACCCGAAACUAAGUGAUCUAUCCAUGAGCAGGUUGAAGCUGGUGUAAGAGCCAGUGGAGGACCGAACCCGUAGAAGUUGAAAAUUCUUGGGAUGACUUGUGGAUAGGGGUGAAAGGCCAAU